UUAAAUUCUCCCUCGCCCUGCUCGUCCGAAUUUAAAGCAUUUAAUUUCUAAUUCAAUAGGCUAUAAACAAGACAAACACAGAUAUAGGAUUAGUUGCUCGCAGUAACAUCUUAUUUUCUCUUGCGAUACAAUAUUUUAUUUUACUGAAUUGUACAUAUUUCUUCAAUCGAAACAUUAUAUAAACACAUGACAUAUAACAUUGUUCCUCUUUCGCAUCGUUUCUUUUCCCCCGGCUAAUGCCUCCAACGCCUGUACGUACAAUAAACAUAGCAGCAACUGCACAUAUACCUAUGUGACCAACUUCAAUCCGACGUAACUGCGAGCACCUUCGAUACUAAUACAUUUAAAUCCCAAACUUUAUAUAGUACCUUUAAACCCCACCCAUAAAAACCGCCAAAACUUUCCUCGUGCCUCCUGCACCUAACAUCAAACUUAUAAAUAGUACAUACUGUUACAAAACCAGUAUCCGAACUAGUUAUACUAGUUUCCAUCUGUAAAUAUUAACUACAAAUAGCAAACGGGAAAAAUCCUAUUUCAAACGAAAUAAAAUACAUUUAAAUUCUCCCUCGCCCUGCUCGUCCGAAUUUAAAGCAUUUAAUUUCUAAUUCAAUAGGCUAUAAACAAGACAAACACAGAUAUAGGAUUAGUUGCUCGCAGUAACAUCGAAACAAAGGAAAUGAAACAGUUCAGAAUAAGAUGCUGAUAUAAAAAGUCUUUUGAGAUAUUGCUAAUUGAAGAUAAAUCUUCAACCACUAAACUGGACCAAUAUCAGUUUCAAGUCGACAAUCGGAACGUCAAAUACGACAUAUUGAACCGGAAGCUUCCGCAAUAGAUGGUUAUGCAGACAAAUGUUUUGCAAAUCUUGAAUCGAUGGAUAAUUUCUCAAACUGUUUUCCUUGAUUCUGUAAAUAGAAGAACACAAUCAAAACUUCAUACAUACAUGUACUUGUAUCUUAAUCAGAUAAACAUUAAACUCUAUAGAUAUAUACAUAUUUCAUAUCUAUAUACAUCAACUUCUAAUCAUACUAUGUGAUUCUUUAUGUUACACACACUGCAACAUAGCUCAUGAAAGUCUAAACAUAUAUGCAUCUCAGAUCUACAUACAUCAACUUCUAAUCACACUGUGAUCCUUUAUGUCACACUGCGCAACAUAGCUCAUGAAAGUCUAAACAUAUAUGCAUCUCAGAUCUACAUACAUCAACUUCAUAUCACACUGUGUGAUCGUAUUGUUGCAUUCAUAAAAAUCUAAACAUAUAUAUAUAUAUAUAUAUAUAUCUAUUAUAUCAACAACAACAAAAAAACAAAGUCUACAGCUAUGUCUGAAGCUCUGACUUUGUACAAGGUUUCUUAUUAUCUAUGUUACAUUUUUAUUAUCGAUUUUAAAUUAAAAAAAGUUUUCCACUCAAUAUGUUAUGUACCAUGUGUACGGACUGUAAAAUAUUACUGCUUACCGUUUUAAAAUCUCUCCAAGUUGAACUCUUGGUACUGUCCGAUUUAUCUCACAUAAAAACGGGCUACUUUUUAUACCUACACCUGCAUAUUUGUGGCAUCCGGGAAAAUAAUUAGCACAUACAUAAGGUCUCCAAUAUGGUACUAAAACUCUGAUCGUUUUAUAGUAAAUGCGACCUGCUGAUAAAAUAAAAUCAAAACUGUGGUAUUUAAUGAAAAAACAUAUAAAAUUGAUGAUUAUUACAAGUCUCAUCUUCAAAUCAAUUGUAUACAUAUAUUUAAUUAUGUACAAAAAGUUAAUGCCUUCAUAUUUAAUCUUUUGUUUUCUGUAUAUUAAUUUAACAACAUCCCAUGGUGCAUUGUGCAACCAAUCACAUCGCUCCCAGCGACAACAUUCCAUGGUGCACUACACUGUGCAACCAAUCACAUCGCUCCCAGCGACAACAUUCCAUGGUGCACUACACUGUGCAACCAAUCACAUCGCUCCCAGCGACAACAUUCCAUGGUGCACUACACUGUGCAACCAAUCACAUCGCUCCCAGCGACAACAUUCCAUGGUGCACUACACUGUGCAACCAAUCACAUCGCUCCCAGCGAUCUAAUAAAAUAAAUUUCAUACAUACCAUUUCAAACUCAUCUGUAACUCGUAUCACUCUCCGUGACAAAAUCAUCUCACUGCGAGAAGAUUUAAACAUAUGUUGUUUCCAUGUCUCAAAUCUAGUACAAGUCUUACAAAUUCUUUACCUGAACUUUGUACUGAAACAGUAAUCAGAUUUAUACAAAAGGUGGACACUGUAAUAUUUAGUGAGCAUUUCAUCUAUCAACUUUUAAAUAAAAGUUGCAUGCUUAAAAGCUGAUUUGUUUUUUCAUAUUAAUGAACUCAACAUGGUUCACAUGGUUCAGUAUUGAAUGGAAAUAUAUAACCAAAUUCUGUAGUAUUUUAAAAUAAAAUCAUAAACCUGUAAAACGGUUUUUAAAAAGAACACAAAUAUAUUGAUUUUCGCUUCUAACUUAAUAAUACGUUCCAGGCAUGAUUUCAGAAUGUAAAUAAAGUCAACAUUAUACUCAACUCCGUCAUGUGAAAACAUGUUCCUCUUUCGCAUCGUUUCUUUUCCCCCGGCUAAUGCCUCCAACGCCUGUACGUACAAUAAACAUAGCAGCAACUGCACAUAUACCUAUGUGACCAACUUCAAUCCGACGUAACUGCGAGCACCUUCGAUACUAAUACAUUUAAAUCCCAAACUUUAUAUAGUACCUUUAAACCCCACCCAUAAAAACCGCCAAAACUUUCCUCGUGCCUCCUGCACCUAACGUCAAACUUAUAAAUAGUACAUACUGUUACAAAACCAGUAUCCGAACUAGUUAUACUAGUUCCCAUCUGUAAAUAUUAACUACAAAUAGCAAACGGGAAAAACCCUAUUUCAAACGAAAUAAAAUACAUU
rnacentral:lncRNA from 1 species